CCCCGGGAAACUGGGGCUAAUCCCCGAUAGGUGAAGAACUCUGGAAUGAGUCUCCGCCCAAAAGACGCUUAAAUCAUGCUUUUAGGCGCCGCCCAAGGAUGGGGCCGCGACCGAUCAGGUAGUUGGUGAGGCAACGGCUCACCAAGCCUUUAACCGGUGCGGGCCGUGGGAGGGCGAGCCCGGANAUGGGCACUGAAACAAGGGCCCAGGCCCUACGGGGCGCAGCAGUCGCGAAAACUUUGCAAUACACGAAAGUGUGACAGGGCUAUCCCGAGUGCCAUCCGCUGAGGAAGGCUUUUACCCAGUCUAAAAAGCUGGGAGANUAAGGAGAGGGCAAGCCUGGUGUCAGCCGCCGCGGUAAUACCAGCUCUCCGAGUGGUGUGGAUGUUUAUUGGGCCUAAAGCAUCCGUAGCUGGCCAAGUUAGUCCCCUGUUAAAUCCACCGAAUUAAUCGUUGGGGUGCGG
rnacentral:rRNA from 1 species